GGAUGGCUCGGAACUCCUCGUCCUCACACAGGUCUAAAGGUCAGAGGUUAGAGGUUACACAAGGAAAACACACACACACACACAGAGGAUGGCUCGGAACUUCUCGUCCUCACACAGGUCUAAAGGCUGCAGCGUGGAGCGGCUGCCAUCCGUCAGUGUCUCUCAGGUCCAUCCUGGCCCCUCCCUCCAGCAGAAGCUCUGCAGCCUGGACGUAACCGUUAGCUGCUGCAAUGUGGAGCUGCAUGAGUGACAGGAGAGGAGACCAAUGGAACAGAGUCACUUCAGAGCAGGGGUGUUUCAAUCUCACCCGACCAGAGAUCUACCAGACAGGCUGGGAUGGGACCGCGGCAGGAAGCUUACUCGGAUGCAAAAUGUAUGUUGAUUUAUGUAUGCUCUCUUUACGCCUGCCCACUAAAUUGAGAAAUAAACCUCGAGUGAACUCAUCUUCUCAUCUGUAUUUCUAAGA